rnacentral:lncRNA from 1 species
AGAGGCUUUUGAGUUCAUCGAGUCAAUGCCAAUUGAACCUGACUCAAGCAUCUGGGUCUCAUUGCUGCACGGAUGUAGAAUUCACAGGGAUGUCAAGCUUGCAGAGAAAGUAGCAGACAGGGUCUUCAAGCUGGAACCUGAGAACACAGGGUACUAUGUCCUUCUUUCCAACAUCUAUGCCGAGGCUGAGAGAUGGGAGGCUGUCAAGAAGCUGAAGAACAAGUUUGGUGGUCGGGGGCUACGCGAGAACACUGGCUGCAGUUGGAUUGAGGUCAGGGGCAAGGUUUAUGUCUUCGUCCCGAACAACCGGAAUCACCCACAAGGGAACAGAAUUGCAGAAUUCCUGGAUGAUGUUGCCAGAAGGAUGCGGGAAGAAGGCCAUGAUCCUAAGAAAAACUAUGCUCUGAUGGGUGCGAACAAUGCGGUGCACGACGAGGCACUUUGUGGGCACAGCUCCAAGCUCGCCAUCGCAUUCGGCGUGCUCAAUUUGUCGGAAGGGCGGCCAGUCCGCGUGACAAAGAACUCAAGGGUUUGUAGCCACUGCCAUGAGUCUGCCAAAUUCAUAUCCAAGAUGUGUAAUAGAGAGAUCAUCCUGAGAGAUUCAAGCAGGUUCCAUCAUUUUGAAGAAGGCAGGUGUUCCUGUAGAGGGUACUGCUGAAAGAAAGAUCAGUCAUGUAACUGUAAUUUUGUUUGUUCAUAGCAAAGAGUACAUAUGUUGCUACGCAGCACCACAUGAUCUUUGCAUAUACAGUGAUUUUUCUUUAAAAGAAUUAGAGGUGACAUUUGAAUGCUGUGGGAAGAUUCAUUUGUAAGAACAACAAUUUUGCGUGUACCAGAAUAACCAGUUACAAUCCCUAGAAAUGUAAAGAAAUAAAAAGGGUGAAUACAUUUCAAC